AUUGAACGCUGGCGGCAUGCUUUACACAUGCAAGUCGAACGGUAACAGGCCGCAAGGUGCUGACGAGUGGCGAACGGGUGAGUAAUGCAUCGGAACGUGCCCAGUCGUGGGGGAUAACGCAGCGAAAGCUGCGCUAAUACCGCAUACGAUCUAUGGAUGAAAGCGGGGGACCGUAAGGCCUCGCGCGAUUGGAGCGGCCGAUGUCAGAUUAGGUAGUUGGUGGGGUAAAGGCUCACCAAGCCGACGAUCUGUAGCUGGUCUGAGAGGACGACCAGCCAACCUGGGACUGAGACACGGCCCAGACUCCUACGGGAGGCAGCAGUGGGGAAUUUUGGACAAUGGGCGCAAGCCUGAUCCAGCAAUGCCGCGUGCAGGAAGAAGGCCUUCGGGUUGUAAACUGCUUUUGUACGGAACGAAACGGUCCUGGUUAAUACCUGGGGCUAAUGACGGUACCGUAAGAAUAAGCACCGGCUAACUACGUGCCAGCCGCCGCCGUAA
rnacentral:rRNA from 1 species